ensembl:rRNA 5S_rRNA 5S ribosomal RNA
GUUGAGAAUUCCUUGUUAUACCUCCUCAUUUUGGAAGCUAAACAGGUGAGGCCUGGUUAGUACUUGAAUGGGAAGCCACCAGUCAAUAUCAGGGAUCUCCAGCU